rnacentral:tRNA from 1 species
UUUUCUGUGGCUUAGUUGGUUAAAGCGCCGGAGGCGUGGAUUCGAAUCCCACCAAAACGA